rnacentral:rRNA from 1 species
GACAGAGGGGGCAAGCGUUGCUCGGAAUCACUGGGCGUAAAGGGCGCGUAGGCGGGAUGGCAAGUCGGUCGUGAAAUCUCUCGGCUCAACCGAGAAACGUCGGCCGAUACUGCCGUUCUUGGGAGUGCAGAGGAGACUGGAAUUCCCGGUGUAGCGGUGAAAUGUGUAGAGAUCGGGAGGAACACCGGUGGCGAAGGCGGGUCUCUGGGCAUUUCCUGACGCCGAGGCGCGAAAGCGUGGGGAGCAAACGGG